GCAACCCGACUCCACGAAGUUGGAUUCGCUAGUAAUCGCGCAUCAGCCAUGGCGCGGUGAAUACGUUCCCGGGCCUUGUACACACCGCCCGUCAAGCCAUGGGAGCCGGGGGCGCCUGAAGUCCGGGACCGCGAGGACCGGCCUAGGGCGAAACUGGUAACUGGGGCUAAGUCGUAACAAGGUACC
rnacentral:rRNA from 1 species